AGCGAACGCUGGCGGCAGGCCUAACACAUGCAAGUCGAACGAACCUUUCGGGGUUAGUGGCGGACGGGUGAGUAACACGUGGGAACGUGCCUUUAGGUUCGGAAUAACUCAGGGAAACUUGUGCUAAUACCGAAUGUGCCCUUCGGGGGAAAGAUUUAUCGCCUUUAGAGCGGCCGGCGUCUGAUUAGCUAGUUGGUUGAGGUAAUGGCUCACCAAGGCGACGAUCAGUAGCUGGUCGGAGAGGAUGAUCAGCCACAUUGGGACUGAGACACGGCCCAAAAUCCUACGGGAGGCAGCAGUGGGGAAUCUUGCGCAAUGGGGGAAAGCCUGACGCAGCCAUGCCGCGUGAAUGAUGAAGGUCUUAGGAUUGUAAAAUUCUUUCACCGGGGACGAUAAUGACGGUACCCGGAGAAGAAGCCCCGGCUAACUUCGUG
rnacentral:rRNA from 1 species